ensembl:lncRNA
CCUCCACCAAACAAGAUCCCCUUGGUGCUGUAGAGAACCCAGCGCAGCCUGGACGCUGUUUGGAGAGAGGGGGGGGUGGGAGAGAGAGAGCUUGUAUUCCAGCCAGAACCUGAGCUUUGGACUUGAGACCUGGACCAGAAUCAGGAGGGCAGGCCUGCUCCUCCUCCAGGAGGCCUGCUCCUCCUCCAGCAGGCCUGAGUCUCCUCCAGCAGGCCUGAGUCUCCUCUAGGAGGCCUGCACCUCCUCUAUGAGGCGUGCACCUCCUCCAGGAGCAGGAGCACCUUGCUGACUGCAGCGAUUCCCUCCCACAAAAAGACAAACAGGAAGAGGAGUAGAGGAGGAGGGAGCUUCUCU